GGUAAAGAAUGUUCUAGAAGCAAGACCUGUUAAACAUUCUCCAGGUUCCUUCAUGGUUGAUGUGAGUGACAUAAUCAAGGUGAAGGGUGCGACUCUCCCCCAUGAUGCUCAUCCCAUUCAUAUUAUAAAAACGUAGUUAUUUUGAAGCAUUUCAUUAUGCAAUUAGCCUUACAGGUGGGAUGCCAUAUAGUCACUGAAGGUCUCAUUGGACAUGGCGUUUACUGAGUUGUCUACUUGUGGCUCAGGCACUACAGCAGACUCUGGAAGAGAGAAGAAAGCCUGCUGGACCUAUGCUGCCCUCAUGAAGCUGAAAGACGAUUAAAAAUCGAGAAAGGUAAAUAG